GACGAACGCUGGCGGCGUGCCUAAUACAUGCAAGUAGAACGCUGAAGGAGGAGCUUGCUUCUCUGGAUGAGUUGCGAACGGGUGAGUAACGCGUAGGUAACCUGCCUGGUGGCGGGGGAUAACUAUUGGAAACGAUAGCUAAUACCGCAUAAUAGUAGAUGUUGCAUGACAUUUGCUUAAAAGGUGCAAUUGCAUCACUACCAGAUGGACCUGCGUUGUAUUAGCUAGUUGGUGAGGUAACGGCUCACCAAGGCAACGAUACAUAGCCGACCUGAGAGGGGGAUCGGCCACACUGGGACUGAGACACGGCCCAGAAUCCUACGGGGGGCAGCAGGAGGGAAUCUUCGGCAAUGGACGGAAGUCUGACCGAGCAACGCCGCGUGAGUGAAGAAGGUUUUCGGAUCGUAAAGCUCUGUUGUAAGAGAAGAACGAGUGUGAGAGUGGAAAGUUCACACUGUGACGGUAUCUUACCAGAAAGGGACGGCUAACUACGUG
rnacentral:rRNA from 1 species